ACGGGUGAGUAAUACAUCGGAACGUGCCCAGUUGUGGGGGAUAGCCCGGCGAAAGCCGGAUUAAUACCGCAUACGACCUAAGGGUGAAAGCGGGGGAUCGCAAGACCUCGCGCAAUUGGAGCGGCCGAUGUCAGAUUAGCUAGUUGGUGGGGUAAAAGCCUACCAAGGCGACGAUCUGUAGCUGGUCUGAGAGGACGACCAGCCACACUGGGACUGAGACACGGCCCAGACUCCUACGGGAGGCAGCAGUGGGGAAUUUUGGACAAUGGGCGCAAGCCUGAUCCAGCCAUGCCGCGUGUGGGAAGAAGGCCUUCGGGUUGUAAACCACUUUUGUCAGGGAAGAAACGGUCUGAUCUAAUAAAUCGGACUAAUGACGGUACCUGAAGAAUAAGCACCGGCUAACUACGUGCCAGCAGCCGCGGUAAUACGUAGGGUGCAAGCGUUAAUCGGAAUUACUGGGCGUAAAGCGUGCGCAGGCGGCUUUGCAAGACAGAUGUGAAAUCCCCGGGCUCAACCUGGGAACUGCAUUUGUGACUGCAAGGCUAGAGUACGGUAGAGGGGGAUGGAAUUCCGCGUGUAGCAGUG
rnacentral:rRNA from 1 species